AUUGAACGCUGGCGGCAGGCCUAACACAUGCAAGUCGAGCGGAUGAAGGGAGCUUGCUCCUGGAUUCAGCGGCGGACGGGUGAGUAAUGCCUAGGAAUCUGCCUGGUAGUGGGGGAUAACGUCCGGAAACGGGCGCUAAUACCGCAUACGUCCUGAGGGAGAAGGUGGGGGAUCUUCGGACCUCACGCUAUCAGAUGAGCCUAGGUUGGAUUAGCUAGUUGGUGGGGUAAAGGCCUACCAAGGCGACGAUCCGUAACUGGUCUGAGAGGAUGAUCAGUCACACUGGAACUGAGACACGGUCCAGACUCCUACGGGAGGCAGCAGUGGGGAAUAUUGGACAAUGGGCGAAAGCCUGAUCCAGCCAUGCCGCGUGUGUGAAGAAGGUCUUCGGAUUGUAAAGCACUUUAAGUUGGGAGGAAGGGCAGUAAGUUAAUACCUUGCUGUUUUGACGUUACCAACAGAAUAAGCACCGGCUAACUUCGUG
rnacentral:rRNA from 1 species